UUUCUUCCAAUUAUUUUUUCUACCGUUUCGGCCGCUCCAACCCGUUCCAGCCGCGACAGGCCCGUUCUGUGGUUCCAUCUCGCCCGUCCCGCCGCUAUCCCGGUGUUUCAACGCGUCACAGUGCAAAAAUCGGUUUGGUUAGGGAUUCCGGAACGGAGGGCACCGUUCCCGUUCCGUUCCGGCGAACCCUGGGACCCACCGUUGGAAUAAUUGGAUUUCAGAUGUACACGGGAGUUGGUGAUUUCCGGCGGAGGUCGCUGAUGGUGGCCGUAAUCUGGAGUUCAGCUUUUGGCUCUUCAAAUAAUUAAAUGAACGGAGGUCUUAACGGUGGAUUAUUGAUGAUAAAAGGUACCGUUGCAAAGCUCGAGAAGUUAGCUUCCCAUUGAUGGUGGUGCUCGGCGGUUUUAUUCGGCGGUGGUCGCCGAAAUUUGGUGUGAAAUUCAGCCUGCUCGCCGGAACCCUAAGGGAAAUAAAAUCUGCUACCGCACCUGUUUCAGAGCCAAAAUCGAAGGGUUUGGAGUGUGAAUUUGGGAAUAAUUCCUUCUCAAAACUCGUAGAGGACCUCGAAAACUAAGAGUAUGUCAUUCGUUGUUGUGUACCUAAGAAAAUUUUGGUCUAUGGUGCUGCUUUUGGUGCUAACUCGAGAACACAAAACAUUACAGGUGGGAACUGAACGAGAAAAUUGAUUUCAAUGGGAAGAAACUUCUACUCAAAAAGAUGGAGCUGAUACAGAAAAUUAUAUUAGAUUGCCGGGGCCCGGGUGCUGCUCACGAUUAUACGAGAUUUAUUUGUCGUGCAUCCAGGUAACUAGGUUGGUGGUCAAUUGAUGAAGGGAGUCAGGAAGAGCAGGUUCGGCUAUAUUGUGCAUUGGGAUCUAGGCGAGUUUUCUGAAAUCAAAGUAGUGUUUGAUGAAGUGAAAGAACGUUAUUGUGGAAGUCAUAUUUGUUGUCGCGUAACAAUGUAUGAAGUGGAACUUGUUAUGAAAUAAUUAUAGCAAUAUUUUUUUCAGAAUGAUUGAUUUAUUAUUGUAUUGAGUAUGAUAGACUGAAAUUAUAAUAUUCACAUUUGAUUGAUAAUAUGUAAAUUUGCAAUCUUUAGUUUUGUUUUGAUUU